rnacentral:rRNA from 1 species
UAGGGAAUCUUCGGCAAUGGGGGGAACCCUGACCGAGCAACGCCGCGUGAGUGAAGAAGGUUUUCGGAUCGUAAAGCUCUGUUGUAAGAGAAGAACGGGUGUGAGAGUGGAAAGUUCACACUGUGACGGUAUCUUACCAGAAAGGGACGGCUAACUACGUGCCAGCAGCCGCGGUAAUACGUAGGUCCCGAGCGUUGUCCGGAUUUAUUGGGCGUAAAGCGAGCGCAGGCGGUUAGAUAAGUCUGAAGUUAAAGGCUGUGGCUUAACCAUAGUAUGCUUUGGAAACUGUUUAACUUGAGUGCAGAAGGGGAGAGUGGAAUUCCAUGUGUAGCGGUGAAAUGCGUAGAUAUAUGGAGGAACACCGGUGGCGAAAGCGGCUCUCUGGUCUGUAACUGACGCUGAGGCUCGAAAGCGUGGGGAGCAAACAGG